GGAUCUAGUCUGUGGCUACAUGUCUAGAAUGAAAAUAAUGUCAGAAGUAUGGUUCUCUACAUCAUUUUAUCUUAACAUCUGACUAUCUAAUAAUUAGCCUGAUUAUCUAACAAUCUAAAUCAGUUGUCAUGAUAUUGAAAAUAUCAAACUUUCUACCUUCCAGUUAAUUUCCUUAUCUACAUUUUCAUAGAAUACCAAGAUUCUUUUUUAACGAAAAAGAAAGAUGGGGGAAUAUUAUCUCCUAGCCCCUGAAUUCUGGAGUCUUCUAAUGAUUAUUUUUACCAAGUAAAUAAAUCCAAGAGUCAACGAAAUGUGGUUUACUGCUAUGCUUCCUGGAAUUUCUUGCAGAAUUAUAGCAUCUCAGAGUUGGAAGGAAUUCUUCAUAUGACCACACUGAAUUCUUUUCCUGUCGGUCUGCAUCACAUUUGUGAAGACAAGUGGCCUGCGUGGCCCAGCGUCCUGAGCCCAGAGAGAACAGCAGGCCCUCGGUCUGUACCAGAUGGUUUUGUAAACCAAAAGCAAUCACUGCAAGUGCACUGGUUUAAGGGGAAUGUCCAAGAAAAUUGCCUUCCUUCUCUUCGGAACGUAUCAUUACAGAAAAAUAGAAGGCCCUGCAUUCCAAUCUGAUGUGCAUUUAACUCUGCAAGCCUGUAAAUUCCGCCAUGAGGUAAGGGGCUGAUUCGGAGCUCCAGAAUCCUUUUGGUGCCACAGAAAGGAUUUUAAAAUGGAUACCCUUGGGGUUUCUCAGUGUUAUUCUGCAAGGGUCGUGUAAUAGAUGGGGCUCUGUCUGAUGAGCUGUCCCAGCCCUGGUAAACAAGACCAGGAUGCCUGGUAGCCCACAGAGCCACCUUGUAUUUUAAAGGUUAGGAGGUGACAUCUUGCGGGUUUGAGCUUGGUUUCAAGUGUGCACGUAUCUUGGUUGGAGAAGCAAUAACAUUACCCUGAUGGAGUCUGGCCUACCCCCAGCAAAGGUCUGGCUAUAAUUAAUUAAAGAAAUACUUCCUGUGGAAUGCUUUACCUUGUAGAUCCUGAACAAAGGAUCCACAUUCCAGGAGGCACAGGAAAGCGUUAUUCUCAAGCUUCCUGUCCCCUGCGGUGUGUAGAGACUUGAAUGCCACCACGUAGACUAGAGAUCAUAAUUGACACAUUCUUUAAAUUUUCCUAUACCUGUAGCCCCAGGCCUCCUUUCCCCUCUUUAUUUUCUUUUCUCCUGAUCUUCCGGGGAGGUGAUAAUUAACAGAUUUAAAGGCGUGCUCCUCGCACCAAGGACACAUUGGGAAGAGACCCCACUGGAAGAAAAAUAACCUGUAUUAGAGCCUAUAAUUGUAGUGAUCUAUUCGCUUCAUAACAGCUUGUUUUUCUAUAGCAUUUUACUGUUUGUUUGUUUUACUUUUUAGGGCUGCACCUGCAACAUGUGGAAGUUCCCAGGCUAGGGGUGGAGUCAGAGAUGCAGCCGCAGGCCUACACCACAGCCACAGCAAAGUCAGAUCCUUAACUCUCGGAGCAAGGCCAAGGAUCAAGCCUGCAUCCUCAUGGGUACCAGUCGGGUUUAUAACCUGUGGAGCCACAACAGGAACUCCAACAUUUCACUGUGUAUAAAUCACUUUACAUAUACGAUUUUUUUUGU
rnacentral:lncRNA from 1 species